UGUAACGUAGCUCAAUGGCUCCAAGAGCAUCGGCUUGCUACGCCGGUGGCACAGGUUCAAUUCCUGUCGUUUUGG
rnacentral:tRNA from 1 species